rnacentral:lncRNA from 1 species
GGUAGGCAAUUGAAAAUAAUUUGUCUAUCAUCAUCAUUCUCUAUGGUCGAGUGAGCAGUUACAUUAUGUUCAUUCUUACGAGAAGAUACUUAAUUCAAUGGAUAACGGUCAAUGACUUUGUGAGCUUCUUGGAUUGAUGAUGGUGUUGGUACUCAUAAGCUAUGAGUAUGAUCAAGAAUAAUAUACAAGUGGCUUUGAAAUGCAAUUGUCUAACACUACGCAGGCUCUAUUUAACUACUACCAAAAUCCUGUUUUAAUGAGAAAAAAGAAAAUAAUUUAGCAUGAAACUGUUAUGUCGAUUCAACUAUCAAGUUCUUGAGAAUACUUCGUAAUAGCUUUGCAAUCUUAGGAGGAUAGCUGAUAUGAUUGGAUCUCGGAUGACAUAACUCAAUUUCAUAAUGGACUCUCUCCUAAUUUUCUGGACCUCUGAAGAUGUGGUUUAGUUGAAGCUACAAGCUUGUUUAUGAUUGUCAAUGCUACCCAAAAAAGUUACAUGCUAUAUCCAACAAGAAUAUCAAUGCAUUAAUUUGGAAGAUAACACUUACGAAUCUAGCCAAUUUUCGCUUUAUUUUUGUAAGAUAAAUUGUUGAAAAAUAUUAAUGUU